rnacentral:rRNA from 1 species
AUGGCAUGCCUUUUGAACAAUGAAUACAAGUGUAGAUUGGCUCUUGAUUGUAAAACUAGGUGUAAUUCUACCUACAUAAUGUUAAAAGGUGCAUUGCAAUACAAAGAUGUUUUUGAAAGACUUUAUAUACGUGAAAAGAAUUUUACUUGUCCAACCGGAGGAGAUUGGGUCUUUGCUAAGGAGGUUUGUGAUAGGCUGAAAGUGUUCUUUGAUGUCACAGAGUUGUUCUCAGGCACUUCAUAUGUUACAGCUAGUCUUUUCUUUCCACAAAUAUGUGGCAUCCGGUUGGCAAUUCGCAAAUGGGAACUAGUAAACAUAGUGUCAUAA